UUUUUUGCGUUUAUUUAUUUAUUUUUUUUUGUUUUUUUGGUUUUUGGUUUUUGCUUCGUACACACCUGCGAUUAGUUAUUAGACAUAUGUGUGCUUUAACGAACCUAUGUAGUUGUGCCUGGGUAUUGCAUAUAGGAGUGUAGACAUGUAUACAUAUGCGAGCAUCUUUCACCGCUCCCUGUAGAGUCGUAAAGCCGCAUUGAAGCGCUUUUGUUUUCCUUUUGUUGCCGCUUUAUUCCCAGGCAUGUGCCCGAGCCGGCGUGUUGGUGCCAAGUCGCCGCUUGGUACCGCCAGCUCCCUAUCGGAGAGAGAGCAAAUCAAGUUGCUUGAAUCGCUUUGAGAGUUACGAAAAACAAAAAAAAAAAAAACUGUAAAAAUCCCCAUAAUAAAAAGAAAAUUUUAAUUUGUAGGCGUAACCGAUGCUUAACAAUUUUGAAUUUCAAAUGGAUGCAUAAAUAUUCCUGCACUAUUGCGCAGUAGACAUUAAUAAUGGCUGCUUUCUGCGAAAACCAAAUCGAAUUAGCAUCAGUGACAGAUCCGAGAAUUAACGUGCAUGCUUAUUAAAACGAUUUAGUUUGAUUAUAAUUAUUAGAAAUAUUCUUAGGUUACAACAGCGGCCGCCAAAGUCGAAUCCUAUUAGAGCUUUAAGCUAAGCUCAGCUCGAUUUAAUUUAUUUGUAAUUUGUUCAAGCUCUAAAAAAGCGUAGUAGCUUUUCUUUAACUUAUUGCGACAGGUCAAAACUUAUAGGAACUGCUCUAAGUGCUCUACGACUUUGAACUUGAUCUCUAAUAUUGUUAAAUAAUCAUGUAGAUGAGCGCAGAAACCAGAAAAGUGAGUUUUUGAAAAUGGCAAUUCCCAAAUACGUUUAGUUCGCACAGGUUAAAUAAUUAAGAUAAUGCGCACAUUUGCUGAGACAAUAAAAUUCCCAGAAAUUUCAUUAAUUUCUCGACCAAAAUCAAAGUUUUUGCUUGUGAACCUCACAUUAUAUAGUAUAAAGAUUGGAUCUAUUUUUCGACUGCUUCGUAACUCUGCUGUGUUUAAUUGAAACUGCUCCCCGGAUUAUUAUAUGCAAAUCGGCAACUGACUUUUGAAUUUGGGAACGAAAACAAACAAAACAGUCCAAAAUCUAAACAAAUGAAAGUCAUGCGGAGUUUGAAGCUGGCAAUUAGUGGAGCUCUGACAGCUCCGACCGCAAAUGCUGGGGAUGCUGUAAUGUCCAAGACGUCUCAUGGGAACUGGGAGUGAGGCGUGCUGCGGUGAUUGGCGGGAUGGUGUUGGCAUUGGCGUUGGCGUUGGCGUUGGCUUCGUGCAUUGGGCGACUGGUUGCAUAAACCCUAAGCUGAAAAAGAAAUUUAAUAACUAAUAACUCAAUGUGAACUGAGAGCUGAAGCUCAAAGCUUGUGCGGCGACUGCGUUUGUUGGCUUGUGACAUUUCGAAUAUAAAAAUUAUGUAAUUACGGUAGGAAAAACAACAACAACAAAAAAAACAUAAAUAAACUCAAGAUUGCAUAAUCACAGCGGUCAAACGCCGGUCCGGGCAUUGGGUCAUUGAGAUACAGCUAAUAAACGAGCGUCUAGCAUGAUAUAAACUAUUAGUAAGGCGAAUGUAAAAUCAACAAAGCAGCCCGUCCCAAUCAAACUACGGAUGUUUUUGUAUACGUAUGCCAACAUUUAUAAGAAUUAAAUAAUAGACAAUGAUUAUACAAAAAAAAAA